UGCAAAGAAUACUUAUGCUGUCGCAUCAAGUCCAGUGAGAUAAACAUUGCAUUCAUCCCACUCGCCAUGGUUGCAUAAAGCAGGUUACACAGCCAAAAGUCUCGGCACUAAAAAGAGUACGUGCGAGACAGACCGGGACAUCUUAUUUACGCAAGCCGAGAGACGAGUUGUGGAAUACACCAAAACACCGCGGCGAGGUAUGUAUAUCUAUGGGUCGAUCAAACAGGUCAAACUGCAAAUUUCCAUGGAUCGAUUUUAUC